CUUAAGUUUUCUAAAAGUUGUUGACAUAUUUAUAAAGCUCUUUCUUCAUUCAGUUCCUAUUUCCUGUUAAAAUUACAUUUUAAAAAUUGAAUUGACCAUAACCAGAUUACUGCAAGAAAAUCUUAAAUUAUUGUUUUAACAUUUUAGUUUUAUAGAUAAAAAAUUUUUUUUUUUAUAUAUAUAUAAUAUAUAAUAUACAUUAAUUUCAUGUAAGUUUAAUCAGCAUUAUGUGGUACAAAAAUUAUUAGAAAAAGAAAAUGAGAAUUUGCGAAAACUCACUCAUCUCCUGGGCUUCAGCUGGAAGGUUUGUAGAAUAAGCCAAGUCAGUGUUUAAAAAAAGUUUUGUUGUACAUUUAGAAAAAUCAGUUUGUGUUAAAAUUAUUUUUAUGCUCAUGGAAAAACACUAAGUAUAUGACAGAGUACAGUGUUAUAAAAACUACAGCAUUGGAUUUUAUAAAAAUGUAUUCUAGUAGGACCAAAAUAAAA